GUCUCUGUGGCGCAAUUGGUUAGCGCGUUCGGCUGUUAACCGAAAGGUUGCUGGUUCAAGCACAGCCAGGGACG
rfam:Ciona savignyi cont_26873, whole genome shotgun sequence.